rnacentral:tRNA from 1 species
GGGAAGGUAGCUCAGUGGUAGAGUGCUUGCCUUGCAUGCAGGAGACCCUGGGUUCGAUUCCUCAGCACCA